AUUGAACGCUGGCGGCAUGCUUUACACAUGCAAGUCGAACGGUAACAGGCCGCAAGGUGCUGACGAGUGGCGAACGGGUGAGUAAUGCAUCGGAACGUGCCCAGUCGUGGGGGAUAACGCAGCGAAAGCUGCGCUAAUACCGCAUACGAUCUAUGGAUGAAAGCGGGGGACCGUAAGGCCUCGCGCGAUUGGAGCGGCCGAUGUCAGAUUAGGUAGUUGGUGGGGUAAAGGCUCACCAAGCCCACGAUCUGUAGCUGGUCUGAGAGGACGACCAGCCAAACUGGGUCUGAGCCCCGGCUCAGAGUCCUACGGGAGGGAGCAGUGGGGAAUUUUGGACAAUGGGCGCAAGCCUGAUCCAGCAAUGCUGCGUGCAGGAAGAAGGCCUUCGGGUUGUAAACUGCUUUUGUACGGAACGAAACGGUCCGGGUUAAUACCUUGGGCGAAUGACGGUACCGUAAGAAUAAGCACCGGCUAACUACGUGCCAGCAGCCGCCGUAACAC
rnacentral:rRNA from 1 species